ACGGAAGGCAGCAGUGAGGAAUAUUGGUCAAUGGGCGGAAGCCUGAACCAGCCAAGUAGCGUGAGGGAUGACUGCUCUAUGGGUUGUAAACCUCUUUUGUUCGGGAAUAAAUGAGCCCACGUGUGGGUUUUUGCAUGUACCGUUCGAAUAAGCAUCGGCUAAUUCCGUGCCAGCAGCCGCGGUAAUACGGAAGAUGCGAGCGUUAUCCGGAUUUAUUGGGUUUAAAGGGAGCGUAGGCGGUCCUUUAAGUCAGCGGUCAAAUGGCGGGGCCCAACCCCGGCCUGCCGUUGAUACUGGAGGACUUGAAUACACACAAGGAAGGUGGAAUUCGUCGUGUAGCGGUGAAAUGCUUAGAUAUGACGAAGAACUCCGAUUGCGAAGGCAGCCUUCUGGAGUGCGAUUGACGCUGAGGCUCGAAAGCGCGGGUAUCAAACAGGAUUAGAUACCCUGGUA
rnacentral:rRNA from 1 species